CAAAAAUCAAGUGUUCAUUUGAUGAACUUCAUUUCCUUAAACAUCCAGAAUUGGAGCUCAUAUCUUUGGCAGCUGUAAAGUUUCUGCUCCUUCAAAGUUCACAAAACAAUGAAUGAAUUCCUAAAACACUCUCAAUGCUGGAGAGCGUUUGUGAUGCUGAAGCAGUGAGCAGUUUUUCAGUUUCUUCUCUGGAGAUGCACAAUGAGGGACGUCUGCAGCGACUGAGAAAGAGUCUCACCACAUCCUGACAUGAGGAAAAAGACUUUAUUGAAGACUACAAUGAGAAAAACUAUCAGACAGCAGACGGCUGCAUUCAAGUCUGUAGCUGCUGAAUUCAUGGAUGAAUCAUCUGGCACUAGAGAGGAAGAUCAUCAAACAUCCACAUCAGCUGAUGGAGGUCCAAGAGUCUCACCAAACAAACAACCUACAGAGUGAAGACCUCCAAUCUGAUUGGACGGCCUCCUAUUCAGCCACAUGUGUGAACAAAUGCCUCUAAGUUGAUUUGUUUUCUAAAAUAAAUCUAGUUUGAGUCCUAAUCUAUGCCUGUGUGUUUGCUUCUUUACACCGCUGUUAACAGUUUAGGCUGUUAGAUUGUUCCAGAUAAGACAAGUACAAGAUUCUUCAGAGCCGUUCUACCAGGAGCCUGACAGGAAGAACUCCAACAGCUACUGAAUGUUCCUGUGGUCCCCUCAAGGCUACAGGAGGAGUCCUACGAGGACGAGCUGGUCCACCUGAUGGCGGCCAGUCGCUGCGGUUCAAAGCCAACACCGACUACGUGGACUUCUACUGGACCACACAGAGGCCUUCAAACCGGACCAACAAGUUCAGCAACUCCCCGACUCGUGGGUCUGAGGACACCGCCAAGCCUCGGCCCAGCUGGCCACCUGUCUGUGGGUGUUUGAAUG
ensembl:lncRNA